rnacentral:rRNA from 1 species
UACGUAGGGUGCAAGCGUUAAUCGGAAUUACUGGUCGUAAAGCGUGCGCAGGCGGUUUUGUAAGUCUGAUGUGAAAGCCCCGGGCUCAACCUGGGAAUUGCGAUGGAGACUGCAAGGCUUGAAUCUGGCAGAGGGGGGUAGAAUUCCACGUGUAGCAGUGAAAUGCGUAGAGAUGUGGAGGAACACCGAUGGCGAAGGCAGCCCCCUGGGUCAAGAUUGACGCUCAUGCACGAAAGCGUGGGGAGCAAACAGG